ensembl:lncRNA
UGACAAAUUCCUUGUAUGUCCAACAUACCCAGCAAAUAUAUGUUUAUUCAUAAGUAUUUACCCCCUUUACUGUAAAACUCCUCAUAAAGAUCUGGUCACAUAAUUAGCAGAUAGGGUCCACCGGUCUGCUAUUUAAUCUCAAGAUAAAUGCACGUGAUCUGUGAAGGCCUCAGAGUCUGUUAGAAAGGGUUACUGAACAAAGAGCAUCACGAAGACCAAGGAGCUGACCCAAGUAUGAAGCAGGGUUAGCUUCUAAAAAACCAUUCCAAGCUUUGAACACUUAUAAAAUCCAUCAUCAACAAAUGGAAAGAAUAUGGCACAACCACAAAGCCACCAAGAGAAGGCCGUCCACCCAAACUGACCGCAAGGAGAAGAUGAAUCAGAGAAGCAACCAAGAGGCUCAAACUGUGGAGGAGCUGCAAAGACACCACCCAUCACCCUGAGCACACCACCCCAACGGGGAAACAGGGUGGUGGUAGCAUCAUGCUGUGGGGAUGCUUCUCUUCAGCAGCUACAGGAAACUAGUCACUGUGAGGGGAAGAUGGAUAGAGACAAAUACAGGGCGAUCCUUGAAGAAAAUAUGAUGCAGUCUGUAAAAGACUUGAGACUUCCAGCAGGACGAUGACCCUCAACAUACAGCAGCGCCACAAUCAAUAGUUUAGAUCAAAGCAUGUUCAUGGUUUAAAGAUUCCCAGUCAAAGAACACACCUCAAUCCAAUUGAGAAUCUAAGGCAAGAUUUGAAAACUGCUGUUCUGAUGCUCUCCAUCCAAUCUGACUGAGCAUCAAGAAGAAUGGAGGAACAUGUGCAAAGCUGGUGGAGACAUUCCCCAAAGGACCUGCAGCUGAAGGUGCAGAGAACCUUCUACCAAGUUUUGAACGGGGACACACGCAUUUAUUUGUCGUUAUUUGUGUCACAAUAUAAAGUAUUUGAUGCCCUCGGAGUACUUUGCAUGUUGUGUUGAUCAAAUGGGAAAAUUCUAUUUUUUUUUCUAAAAUUCUACGUCGUGACGUCAUCGUGUGCAUUCAUCGGCCAUCCGCUCACAGACGACGUUGACGGAGGAAGCCACAUCCGGGUAUGUAGCGCUGCGUCCUCUCCUCCAUCUCCCGCUGCAUCCUCCACCCUGCAGAUAAACAGGAGGACAGACGGACAGACAGACGGACAGACAGACAGACAGCUGGAUCUCUUUCGGCUUCAGGUUCGUUUUCUUCUUUCUCGUGAUCGUAAUUUCAGAUCGGUCCGUUUCUCUUUAACUGACGACAGACAGACAGAGAGACAGACAGAGAGACAGACAGAGAGACAGACAGAGAGACGGGGAGAGAGACGGGGAGAGAGACAGGGAGCGAGACAGCAAAGAGACAGGGGCGAGAGACAGGCAGAGAGACAGGGCGAGAGACAGCAGAGAGACAGGGCGAGAGACAGCAGAGAGACAGGGCGAGAGACAGGCAGAGAGACAGGGCGAGAGACAGCAGAGAGACAGGGAAAGAGACAGCAGAGAGACAGGGCGAGAGACAGCAGAGAGACAGGGAAAGAGACAGCAGAGAGACAGGGGAAAGGCAAUACAAACAUGAACUAAUAUUUGUUAAAUGUUUAUUUAGUUUCUAAAUAAUUAACAUGACAAUUGUCCCUCACAACUUGUUUACUAAUGACCAGACAAUAAUAUCAAUCAGAAUACUAUUACUGAUCAUAUUGUAGUAGUGUAUAUUAUUGAUCAUUUUGUUGUCAAUAAUAUAAAUAUGAUCAAUGAUAAGAUUUAUCUUCAAUAUCAAUAAUAGUGUAAAUAUUUUUAUUGAUAUAAUCACAUCACAUGUCAUUUAUCUGACGCUUUUAUCCAAAGCAACUUACAAUAAGAACAUUUAACCAUAAGGACACAAACUCAGAAGAACAAGAAACAAGAAAGUGUGAUUUCAUAAAUUAAACCGAUAUGAUAUCUGUUAUCUAUAGCAAGUUGUAUAAGUCCAAUGUCAGUGCUGCAGUCAGUUAGUGUGUUAGUGGAGGUAGAGUGUGAAGAGGUGUGUCUUUAGUCUGAAGAUGUGAAGGCUCUCUGUGGUCCUGAUGUCUUCAGAGACCUCCUUCCACCAUUUAGGAGCAGGACAGCAAAGAGUGGAGAUCUAGUCGAGUGUUUUGCUCUCAGUGAGGAGGAACAAGCAGUUUAUCACAUGCAGAGAGGAGAGGUCAGAGGUCGGGAUGUCGGGUUGGACCAGGUCCUGGAUGUGAGCUGGACCCCAUCCAUUCACAGCAUGGUACGUGAGCACCAUGUUUAGAACUGGAUGAGCCACCGGUACCAGUGAAGAGAGCGGAGGAGUGGAGGAGUGAGGGAGAACUUAGGAAGGUUAAAGACCAGUGGAGCUGCUGCAUUCUGGAUGAGCUGCAGAGGUGGAAUGGUGGUAGCAGGAGACCUGCAGGAGAGAGUUACAGUAGUCCAGGAGGGAGACGACAAGAGCCUGAAUCAGUACCUCCUUCUGAGUGAGAAGAGGACGUGUUCUCCUCAUGUUGUAGAGCGAGUAUCUACAGGAUGGUGUUGUCAGUGAUGUUGGAGUCAGGGAGAGUCGGCUGUCGACGUCACGCUGAGGUUCCUGCAGUCAAAGUGGACGUUAACACGGAGUCUCAAAGUUAACAGUCAGGUCCUGUGUAGGAGAAUCUUUUCCCAGAAAGAGAAGUAGUUCCGUCUUGUCGGGGUUGAUUUUCAGAUGGUGGGCGGAUCCACUGAGAGAUGUCAGUCAGACAGGCAGAGAUCCGAGUGAGGGAAGGAGAGGAUUAGUUGGUGUCAUCAGCAUAGCUGUGGUAGGAGAAGCCAUGCGAGCGAAUGACAGCGCAGAGAGAGUUGGUGUAGAGCGAGAAGAGGAGGAGACCCAGGACGGAACCCUGAGGAACUCCAGUAGUAAGAGGACAAGGUUCCGACACAGAUCCUCUCCAGGUUACUCGGUAGGUGCGUCCGUCGAGGUAGGACGAGAGAAGGGAGAGAACAGAGCCUGAGACACCAAGUUCCUGAAGGGAGGAGACAAGGGUCUGCUGGUUGACUGUGUCAAAUGCAGCAGAGAGGUCCAGAAGGACGAGGACAGAGGAGAGAGAGGAGCUCUAGCAGUGUGGAGCUGCUCUGAGACAGCGAGGAGAGCAGUCUCUGUGGAACGGCCUUGAAGCCUGACUGGUGGGGGUCAAGGAGGUUGUUAUGGUGGAGAUAAGAGGAGAGCUGGUUAAAGAUCACACGUUCAAGGGUUUUGGGCAAUCAGGGAAGAAGAGAGACCGGUCUGUAGUUGUGUUCUUCAGACGGGUUGAGGGUGGGUUUCUUCAGGAGAGGGUUGACUCUUCUCCUUCAGAGAAAACAUCCAGAUAACAGAGCGUUGUUGAUGAGACAGGUGAGGAAAGGAAGAAGGUCGGGAGUGAUAGAUUGUAGAAGAUGUGAUGGAAUGGGGUCAAGAGGGCAGGUGGUUGGACGGGCAGAGGUUACUAGGGUAAGAACUUGGUUAGGAGACGGGGGUGAAGGAGGAGAGUGAGGGCGAUAGAGGUGAAGCCAGUGGGACACGAGUAGGAGGAGGUGGGUUUGAGAAAGAGGAGCGUAUGUCAGCUACAGUUGUGCUCAUAAGUUUACAUACCCUGGCAGUAUUAAUGAUUUCUCGGCCAUUUUUCAGAGAAUAUGAAUGAUAACACAAAAACCUUUCUUUCACUUAUGGUUUGUGGUUGGGUGAAGCCAUUUAUUAUCAUUCAACCGUGUUUACGCCUUUUAAAUCAUAAUGAUACCAGAAACUACCCAAAUUACCCUGAUCAAAAGUUUGAAGAAUGAGAUGAUCUUCUUGUUGAUGACAGGAUCUGGAAUGACCGUUAAUUGACAAGCAGGCAGGCAGGAGACAAACUAAUAAGAUGGAGAAUUCGUGACAGAGCUGAUAGAGGAGGAACAGAGGAGGCCGGAGAGGGAGAGAGGGAGGGAAUGUCUCGACGGACUGUUACAGAGUUAGUUCAUGGGUCGCUAGUUAUAGAAAGUGGGAGAUGAAGGAGUGGUGGUAUUGAUUAUAUUUGUAUGAAUAAUAAUAUCAGUAAUAAUGUAAUACUGUAAAAGUAGC